GGUUGAUCGAGCUCUAGAGGUUUAUCGUAUGAUUGAUAAAUGUGAUAUCAAAGGAACACCAGAGGUUUACACAAUUGCUGUAAAUUGUUGCAGUCAAAAUGGUAAUUGGGAAUUUGCACGCAGCAUUUAUGAUGACAUGUCCAAAAAAGGUGUUAAUCCAGAUGAGAUGUUUAUCAGUGCGCUGAUAGAUGUGGCAGGGCACACAGGUAAGUUGGAAGCUGCAUUUGAAGUUCUAGAAGAAGCAAGGGCUAAAGGCAUAAAUUUGGGAUCGAUAUCAUAUAGCUCAUUGAUGGGAGCCUGCUGUAAUGUAUGAACACUGAUCCUUUUUGUGUUUCCUCAUAUAGAC
rnacentral:misc_RNA from 1 species